rnacentral:pre_miRNA from 1 species
GCACUUCAAAUCGUGAUAUGUUUGGUUUAUUGGUGAGUGUAAACUGAUUUCUAACACCAUUAGCCUAAUGUAUCGUGUCAUUGAGUGC